rnacentral:rRNA from 1 species
ACUCCUACGGGAGGCAGCAGUGGGGAAUAUUGCACAAUGGGCGCAAGCCUGAUGCAGCCAUGCCGCGGUGUUGAAGAAGGCCUUCGGGUUGUAAAGCACUUUCAGUUGUGAGGAAAGGUUAGUCGCUAAUAUCGGCUAGCUGUGACGUUAGCAACAGAAGAAGCACCGGCUAACUCCGUGCCAGCCAGCNCGGUAAUACGGAGGGUGCGAGCGUUAAUCGGAAUUACUGGGCGUAAAGCGCGUGUAGGUGGCUUGUUAAGCCAGAUGUGAAAGCCCCGGGCUCAACCUGGGAACUGCAUUUGGAAACUGGCAGGCUAGAGUUUUGUAGA